UACGAAGGGGGCUAGCGUUGUUCGGAAUUACUGGGCGUAAAGCGCGUGUAGGCGGGUCUUUAAGUCAGGGGUGAAAUGCCAAGGCUCAACCUUGGAACUGCCUUUGAUACUGGAGAUCUUGAGUCCGGGAGAGGUGAGUGGAAUUGCGAGUGUAGAGGUGAAAUUCGUAGAUAUUCGCAAGAACACCAGUGGCGAAGGCGGCUCACUGGCCCGGAACUGACGCUGAGACGCGAAAGCGUGGGGAGCGAACAGG
rnacentral:rRNA from 1 species